rnacentral:rRNA from 1 species
UACGUAGGGUGCAAGCGUUGUCCGGAAUUAUUGGGCGUAAAGAGCUCGUAGGCGGUUUGUUGCGUCGGCUGUGAAAUCCCCGGGCUUAACCUGGGAAUGGCAUUUGGGACUGCAAGGCUCGAGUGCGGCAGAGGAGACUGGAAUUCCUGGUGUAGCAGUGAAAUGCGUAGAUAUCAGGAGGAACACCGAUGGCGAAGGCAGGUCUCUGGGCUGACACUGACGCUCAUGCACGAAAGCGUGGGGAGCAAACAGG